rnacentral:rRNA from 1 species
UAGGGAAUAUUCCACAAUGAGCGAAAGCUUGAUGGAGCGACACAGCGUGCACGAUGAAGGCCCUCGGGUUGUAAAGUGCUGUUGCAAGGGAAGAACAGUUAGUUGAGGAAAUGCUUCUAAUCUGACGGUACCUUGUUAGAAAGCGAUGGCUAACUAUGUGCCAGCAGCCGCGGUAAUACAUAGGUCGCAAGCGUUAUCCGGAAUUAUUGGGCGUAAAGCGUUCGUAGGCUGUUUAUUAAGUCUGGAGUCAAAUCCCAGGGCUCAACCCUGGCUCGCUUUGGAUACUGGUAAACUAGAGUUAGAUAGAGGUAAGCGGAAUUCCAUGUGGAGCGGUGAAAUGCGUAGAUAUAUGGAAGAACACCAAAGGCGAAGGCAGCUUACUGGGUCUAUACUGACGCUGAGGGACGAAAGCGUGGGGAGCAAACAGGAUUAGAUACCCUGGUAGUCCACGCUGUAAACGAUGAUCAUUAGUCGGUGGAAGACUACUGACGCAGCUAACGCAUUAAAUGAUCCGCCUGAGUAGUAUGCUCGCAAGAGUG